rnacentral:tRNA from 1 species
GGGAAUGUGGCUUCGUGGUAGAGUGCUUGCCUAGCAUGCAUGAAGCCCUGGGUUUGAUUCCUCAUUACCA